AUUUCCCGUAGUUGAAUACAACGGCGGUUUUUCAUGUCGCUGGUCCCAGUUUAUUCUGGGCGGGAAUA
rnacentral:tRNA from 1 species